GACGGGUGAGUAACGCGUGGGUAACCUGCCUCCUUUAGAGGGAUAACAGUUAGAAAUGACUGCUAAUACCGCAUAAGCGCACAGUACCACAUGGUACGGUGUGAAAAACUCCGGUGGUAUGAGAUGGACCCGCGUCUGAUUAGCUAGUUGGUGGGGUAACGGCCCACCGAGGCGACGAUCAGUAGCCGACCUGAGAGGGUGAUCGGCCACAUUGGGACUGAGACACGGCCCAGACUCCUACGGGAGGCAGCAGUGGGGGAUAUUGCACAAUGGAGGAAACUCUGAUGCAGCGACGCCGCGUGAGGGAAGACGGUCUUCGGAUUGUAAACCUCUGUCUUUAGGGUUUAUUUAAUGACGGUACCUAAGGAGGAAGCCACGGCUAACUACGUGCCAGCAGCCGCGGUAAUACGUAGGUGGCAAGCGUUGUCCGGAAUUACUGGGU
rnacentral:rRNA from 1 species